AUUGAACGCUGGCGGCAGGCCUAACACAUGCAAGUCGAGCGGAGCGGCGGACGGGUGAGUAAUGCCUAGGAAUCUGCAUGGUCGUGGGGGAUAACGUUCGGAAAUGGGCGCUAAUACCACAUACUAUCACAUGCGCCUCGGGCGGAUUUGCUAGUGGGUGGGGUAAAGGCCUACCAAGGCGACGAUCCGUAACUGGUCUGUGAGGAUGAUCAGGCACACUGGAACUGAGACACGGUCCAGACUCCUACGGGAGGCAGCAGUGGGGAAUAUUGGACAAUGGGCGAAAGCCGGAUCCAGACAUGCCGCGUGUGUGAAGAAGGUCUUCGGAUUGUAAAGCACUUUAAGUUGGGAGGCGUUACCAACAGAAGAAGCACCGGCUAACUUCGUGCCAGCAGCCGCGGUAAUAC
rnacentral:rRNA from 1 species